GUACUGAUGAAGAGUCCCAAACUAGGAUGAAACAGCUGUCCAGUGC
rnacentral:hammerhead_ribozyme from 1 species